rnacentral:rRNA from 1 species
GCGCGAAAACUUUACAAUGCGGGAAACCGUGAUAAGGGAAUCUCGAGUGCCAGCAUAUAAUGUUGGCUGUCCAGAUGCCUAAAAAGCAUCUGUUAGCAAGGGCCGGGCAAGACCGGUGCCAGCCGCCGCGGUAACACCGGCGGCCCGAGUGGUAACCGCUUUUAUUGGGUCUAAAGGGUCUGUAGCCGGCCAAGUAAGUCCCUUGGGAAAUCUGGCAGCUUAACUGUCAGGCUGCUAGGGGAUACUGCUAGGCUUGGGACCGGGAGAGGUGAGAGGUACCUUGGGGGUAGGGGUGAAAUCUUGUGAUCCUCGGGGGACCACCAGUGGCGAAGGCGUCUCACCGAGAACGGGUCCGACGGUAAGGGCGAAAGCUAGGGGCACGAACCGGAUUAGAAACCCCGA